CUCUGUCCAGUUGCAGAGAGAGAGUGAGAGAGUGGCUUUAGUGGGUACUUGGCAUCUGUCCAGGGUCAUCCACUACGUAUAUAUAUUGACUCAGGCAGGGAGAAAAUUCACUUCAGUAAGUACCCUUCACCAUUGGAAUAGAUUGGUAAAAACCAACAACAACAUUGAUUCAUAUCUUAAUGAUAUAAAUGAUAAUUCCUUUUUAAUUCUAAGCCUAGUUCUUAUUAUUAAAAAUUACUGUGAUAAAACUAGUUCCAGCAAGUUGAAAUAAUUCAUUUUUUCCUAAGUCAUGGCUUGGCCUGAAAUCUGAAUAGGAAGAUCUGAAAAUUGUGAUAAUUUGAACUUUUUACUUUUGUUUCUUUUGAGUUUUUUUGAUUGGUUUGUUUUGGUUUUGCAGUGAGCUUACUGAGAGAAGGAGUUAAACCUUGGGUUGUGGAAUUAGUCUGUUGAACUUAGUGUUGAUUGUGUUACCUAGUGUUUUUCAGAGUAUUUAGGAACAUGCUUAAUAACCUUGAUGAAAACAGAUUUUGAAAUUCUCUGCUAACUGGAAUCCAAGAUGUUUGUCUGUGCAGUCAACUCUGCAGCUGUUGCUCUAUUUACCUCUGAGCUUUCUAUGUCUUUUAGGUGCUCUGAGUACAGUUUUUGAGGAGUAUUUUUGGUUCUUUCCUCACAUACUAUUUAUGGUCCUUGGAUAGUUCAUAUCUGUUCUAAGAGGAAGAUAAUUCCUUACAGCAAUAUUUACAGUUAUGUGAAACUGGUUGGAGGCUAUCUGGAACUCAGAGCAUAGUUUUGUCAGUUUAUCCUAAGUUGAUGAGAAUUAAUUUCAAUUUGCUUUCAGACUAAGAAGCAAUUGAACACAGUCUUGCCAGUUGUAAGGACUGCGUUGCAUUAUUAUUAUUAUUAUUAUUAUUAUUAUUAUUAUUAUUAUUAUUAUUAUUAUUAUUGUAGGAUGUCUGUAUGGAUGCUUCCUCUUUGUUUUAUAGGUAAGUGUCCUAAUUCUAGGGCUUCAGUCCAGAAGCGUUAAAAUGGGUACAGAAUAAAUCUUCUCUGUCCCAUCUUUCUUCUCAGCUUAUGCUGAGAACUGUACUGUCUUUCUGCUCAGUUUUUCAGAAGUACUGCAGAUAGUAGCAUUUAAAAAUCAAACUGCCAGUUUCAGCCCAUGCUCUUGCUUUUCUACACCAGUUCUAGUUGGCAGCUUCAUCUCAGGUUGGAGUGGAUGGUGUUGUCAGAAGCAACUUUUGUUAUUUUCUCAGCAGAAUUGAUCAGAAGGAAGAAGAAGGAAAGAAGAAGAUGAGCUGAAUGAGCUUCUAAUGGGCUAAUAAGGUGUUCUCAUUAAGAAGUCUUGUGGCACUAUGCUCAUGUGGUGGACAAAGGCAGUUAAGUAUAGUCAUCGUGGAAGAUGUAAGCAGAAGUGGAGCUGCAUUUACUUGCAGAAGGAGAACAGGAGUCAGAGGAAGCUGACUACCAUUUAUGAUUUGAAGGGUAAGGCCCAUGGAAAUUGUUUGUGAUGCAUGGCAAGGAAAAUUGGGCUGCCUUCAUUCCUGACAGGUAAGUUGCCUUUUGAUUUCCUGAUCUAAUGAGUUGUAGUACUGCAACAUGAACAAGGGAACAAUCUUAUUUUAAUUAAAUAUAUGUCUGUUUAUGGUAGUAGCAUUCCUUAACCUCUUUCAUUGUUUUUGAAUAUUUUUUGUAAGUGGAAGGAACUAUUUUCCAGCAGCUUGAAUAUCAGGUUUGCAUUCAUUCUCUUUAAGAAGCCAGAGUUAAUGUCAUUACAAAGUUGACCUGAAAUAGUCUUCUAAGUGAGGGGGUUUGUGUGUGCUUUUUGGUGAUUUGCCUUCCUUUUACUAAUUGCAUUUGGUUUUUGGUUGUUUUAUAGUUGUGGGGAAGAUUUUUCAAACCAUUGCAAAUGUGUUGAAACAACCUGGAACAACUAAACUAAUUACAAGCUGUGCUUUACAUUGUAAGUUUUAAAUUUUAUUUUUAUUUCAAUGAAUUAACUGUUGUUCACACAGUAAAAUAUUUCUGGCUCACAUCAUUUUACUCAUUUUGCCUAAAGCAUUUGAAUAGCUGUCCUUAGUAGUUUAUUGACCUCAUUGCUCAAGUAUUUGCAGGAUUUAAUUCUGAAUUUCCACUUAGGAGAUAACCUUCCUUUGGAGUAAUGCUUAAGACUUUAUGUGUAUUUUAACUGGAUCAGUAUUUUAAGUUUAUUCUAAUUUUUCUCUAAGGAAUAUCCUAGCAUAUGAUAACAAUUUUUGAUGAUCCACCAUAGGACACACAAUUCACACUGUAUUAAUUGAACAAACUUCUGAAUCUGUAAAGUGCAUGAUGCAA